CUGCCAGGUCAAUGUGAUAUCCACAGGGUAGAAGCCCAGGGCCCAACACCUCAGGGUGGCCUCAUGGUCAGAGAUGGGGUGGUGGGUCUGUGUGGCUU